UACUUCUUCGGACAAUAUACAAGGUGCUGCAUGGUUGUCGUCAGCUCGUGCCGUGAGGUGUCGGGUUAAGUCCCAUAACGAGCGCAACCCCUAUCAUUAGUUGCCAUCAGGUCAUGGUGGGCACUCUAAGGAGACUGCCGGUGACAAACCGGAGGAAGGUGGGGAUGACGUCAAGUCAUCAUGGCCCUUACGGCCUGGGCUACACACGUGCUACAAUGGUCGGUACAAAGGGUUGCCAAGCCGCGAGGUGGAGCUAAUCCCAUAAAACCGAUCGUAGUCCGGAUCGCAGUCUGCAACUCGACUGCGUGAAGUCGGAAUCGCUAGUAAUCGUGAAUCAGAAUGUCACGGUGAAUACGUUCCCGGGCCUU
rnacentral:rRNA from 1 species